GUCGUGAGAUGUUGGGUUAAGUCCCGCAACGAGCGCAACCCUUAAACUUAGUUGCCAGCAUUUAGUUGGGCACUCUAGGUUGACUGCCGGUGACAAACCGGAGGAAGGUGGGGAUGACGUCAAAUCAUCAUGCCCCUUAUGAUUUGGGCUACACACGUGCUACAAUGGACAAUACAAAGGGCAGCUAAACCGCGAGGUCAUGCAAAUCCCAUAAAGUUGUUCUCAGUUCGGAUUGUAGUCUGCAACUCGACUACAUGAAGCUGGAAUCGCUAGUAAUCGUAGAUCAGCAUGCUACGGUGAAUACGUUCCCGGGUCUUGUACACACCGCCCGUCACACCACGAGAGUUUGUAACACCCGAAGCCGGUGGAGUAACCAUUUAUGGAGCUAGCCGUCGAAGGUGGGACAAAUGAUUGGGGUGAAGUCGUAACAAGGUAGCCGUAUCGGAAGGUGCGGCUGGAUCACCUCCUUU
rnacentral:rRNA from 1 species